GCACCCGUAGUGAAAUGGAUAUCAUACCUGCCUUCGAAGCAGAUGUUGGGGGUUCGAAUCCCUCCGGGUGCA
rnacentral:tRNA from 1 species